CGCCCACUCAGUGUAAACUUAAAUGUGUUUUUUGCCCUUCUGUCGGUUUCCUAUAUUUCUGUGAGAGAAGAGCAGCGCGCUGCCGCCUCUAAGCAUCACAGUCCUCAUGUCUCACAGAAUGAUGGACAGCUGUCACUCACAGUCACAGCCCAGAGAUUUCAACAACCUCACUCAGACAUGCAGCUCAAACAUCCAGAAAAUCACACAAAACACUGGUCAAAUCAAGAGCAUGCUUUUCCAGCUUGCUACCAGACCAGACACACCAGAACUUGAAGACAGACUCCAGCAAAUGCAGCACUACACAAACCAGUUAGCAAAAGAGACCAACAGACAUCUGAAAGACCUGGGCUCUUUCCCACAGCCGCAGUCCCCGUCAGAACAGCGGCAGCAGAGGAUUCAGAAAGACCGUCUGAUGAAUGACUUCUCAGCUGCUCUCAACAACUUCCAAGUGGUCCAGCGGCGAGCUGCAGAGAGGGAGCGUGAAUCAGUGGCACGGGCUCGAGCUGGCUCCAGACUAAACGUUGAUGAGCUCAAUCAAGAUGAACAGCUUGUGACAUUUGAAAAAAAUGAAGGGUGGAGGAUGCAGACCGAAGAAGAGCCUUUCACUGAAGAGGACCUUGAGCUUAUUAAAGAGAGAGAGACCAAUAUCCACCAGCUGGAGACGGUAAUUACACAGCAAUUCUCAGACAUGGAUUGUAGUAAAAAGUCCCAACUGCUUUCUGUUCUUGAUUCUGGAUUCAGUCGGACAUUAUGGAUGUGAACCAGAUCUUCAAGGACCUUGCAGUCAUGAUCCAUGACCAGGGUGACAUGAUCGGUUAGUCUAGCUCUCUUCGCUGAACCCCGUUUUUUGCACUGAUUUUAAGGCCUGCUUUCCUCCUGUCAUCAUUCACAGAUAGCAUCGAAGCCAACGUGGAGAGUGCAGAGGUACGUGUGGAGCGAGGAGCUGAACAACUCCAGCAGGCGGCGUACCAUCGGAGAAAAUCCCGCAAGAGGAUGUGUGUUCUGGCUCUGAUCCUGUCGCUAGUGGUGGCCAUCUUUGC